rnacentral:lncRNA from 1 species
CCCGCCCGCUCCCGCUUACCUGCCGGGGUCGCCCCGAAGACUCGUACCACCGGCACCUUCUUGACAGGGAGCUGGGUGAGCGGGGAUUGGCAACGAGGAGGGGGUUCUCCCCCGCUCGGAGCGCGCGGCUGGGGAAGAAGCUGGCGGGAAGCCGGGCCGCGCGCCGAGGAAUCGAUGAUUCGGCCUGUGGGCCGGGUCACUGCGGCGGGGCCCGGGGAGCGCCGAUAGCAUGGAUAGGCUCAGAGGGGCGCAGGGUUUUGGCGGCUUCCCGAGUUCCCCUCGCCGACCGCCAUGUCACAUCUUACGGAAGAGGCGGGGGCUGCCGCGGAGAGGAUAUUUUUUGUUUUGUUUUGUUUUCACAACUAGGACAACCACUGUGGGUUCCCCCGCGCAGGCUACACACACACACCCCACACACACACGCGGCACGAGCGAGAACACGGAAAGACUUGUUUGCUCCACUCACCUCCCUCCCUCCACUCCUCUCGCGGCUGCUCGGAGAGCCCCGAGAGCCUUUCAGAGAAAAUGUUGGCAAAAGGGAAAGGCUCCUAAAAGUCGGCGUGUUUUCAUUCACUCUUAGUGCAAGAUUUUACUACGGGUUGACACAGAAGAAAAAGGGGGUGGUCAUCUCACCUAUUUACCCAGAGCCUUUCAACCCUUCCAUGACAAUACUUUUAAACAUCAGGUGAAAACAUUUGCUUUUAACAAUUAUCUGUAAUUGUAGGCAGAGACCAUCUAUAUGAGGGGGAAGGAGUAGGUAUAUGGUGACUUAGUCAACAACAGGCAGCCCAUUCUAUAUCACUGGCUUUCCUCACUAUGUCCAGAACACUUGACAAGAAGAAACAUAAGGAGGAAAAGAAUUUAUUUUGGUUUAAAGUUCUAAGGAAUAAACUCUGUAAAUGUGAGGAAGACAUAGUCGUGAGAAUGUGAUAUUUCCUUUCCUGUUAUGCAUAUGGUCUAACAAUAUUCUCUACCUUCUGCUUACUUUAGAGAUUAAGACUUUCAGCCCCAUCCUCCAACCUCUGGGGGCUUGUGAAUAGUUGAAGACAAGAACAGCUACUAAACAGAUGAUUUAAAGUGAUUACUUAAAAGGACAGGAUAGAAGAAUAAAGACUGCUUUCGAGAAAAUGAUUGUCUUGGUCACUUUUAUUACUAUGAAGAGAUGUCAUUACUAAGGUAACUCUUAAGAAAUAAAGCAUUUAGUUGGGGGCUUGCUUACAGUUUUUAGAGGUAUGAUCCAUUAUCAUCAUGGGCCAGGAGCAUGGCAGUAAGCAAGUGGACAUGGUGCAAGCUCCUGAGACUGAACUGCAGGCAGAGAGAUCGACAUGGGCUUCUGAACCUCCAAAGCCCACCCAGUGACAAUGGGGCUGGUGACUAAGCAUUUAAAUAUGUGAGCCCAUGAGAGCCAUUCUUAUUCAAACCACUACAGAGACUUUAAGAUUUGAAGAAGACUAUCUGUUUCAACAGUAGUAGGGAACUCAGAGAAAAUCUAAAUGAUGAUAACGUGAGUUAAAAAAAAUUGAUUAUUGAGCUUCAAAAUUAAUAGAAGAUAAAUUUGUGUGAGCAGGGCAUAAAAUAAAAGGACAGACUGAGAGCAUGAAAAAGAGUUGCUAAUAAGAACAACUAAAGAAUGAGAUUCAGCAGUAGCAAGAAAUUGAAAACCUACAGACUCUAGUCUACUAUUUGAUUUGGACAUUCAUUGAGACAUGAAACAUUCAGGUUGGAAAAGAUAAACCUAAGAAUCUUGAGACCCUCGGUUUCUGAAGGAUGCCAGUUCUAAAGGAUAAAUAGUAGAAUAGAGCUGAGGAGUGUCUCUUCCUCUCCUGAGGAUGUCCUCAGGAGUCUGGAAAGGGAUACAAGUGCAGCAGCUCAGGGAUCCUCAGUCCCUAGCACAAAUAAACCUGACCUCCACUCCCAUCCUCCAGGAAAAACUGACCUGGUUGGCAAUAUUUUUCCCCCUAAAAGUUUUUAAAGAGUAGGAAUAAAGUUAUUUCAACAUCAAUAAAAAUGUUACAAAGUUUGCACAAGGACAAGCAUAGUUUGUGUUCAGAAACACCAGCUCAAACAUUUUCACUUAUAUUAAAUGUGCAUUUUAUUAUUUAGUUCUAAUCUUUUCGAGUUAUUGCCCUAGUAUUCCUAAAGUCCUUUGUUAGAUUCUCUGGGUGAUUCUAAAAAGCAAAGCAAGACAUAGCCCAGGGCUCAAGCAUUGCACUGCUGUUGACGCAUGUUGUAAGUUUCUUGACACUGAGAGCCAUACUUGAUAUUUCCUUUUUACUUUGCAUAGUAAUAAACAUUUGGCUGUUGAUGCAGAAAUCCUUUUUUCCCAUUAGCCUCUGCAUUGCACCGUUUGUUGAGUAAACAGUGCCCAAUCUGGCAACUUCUGUAUGACUUAAACAAAACAUGCAGCCGUCUAAACCAGUUAAUAUUCUCUAAAGCCGUCAGGAACACCAGUGUCCAGCUUGUUGAAGGUAGAAAUCUUAUGUGUAAAGACCAGCCUGCCAGGAAAUAGUGUGCUACCAUGUUCUUUGAAGUUUAUAAAGAACUGUUGUAUAUCUUUAUUUUCACAUUUACUCUCCCUGCACCUGCCAUACUAGCUUCUUUAUUCUUUCUUGAAUACCCAGGUAUACUCCUAAUAUUUGACCCAAAUUUUCACAUCUUGUUCCUUUUAGUGUUCUCAAAUAUCACCUAAUCAAUGAGGCCUUUCCUGCCCACCCACUCUUUAACUCCUGGACCUCAGAAGAAUCACCUGGAUGCUUCUAAAGAGGAUGUCUACCAGACCCCAUGCCGCACUAAUUAGCUCAGAAGUGGGAACCCUUCGUGAGUCAUUUUUUGGAAUAAUUCUUAUUUAUUCUAAUGUUAAAGGCUGUUCUGGUUUGCUUUCUGUUACUGUGAUAAGACACUUACCAAAACCAACUUGGGAGGAAAGGGUUUAUUUCAUCAUACAAUUCCCAGGGCACAAUCCAUCCCUUGGGGAAGUCAGGGCAGCAACUCCAUGGAAGAACCCGGAAGCUGAACUGAAACAAAGACCAUAGAGGAACAGUAUUACUGGCUCAGUUCCUAGGACUUGCUCAGCUUGCUGUCCUACAUGAUCCAGGACCACCUGUUGUGCCUAGGGGUGGCACAAUGAGCUGGGCCCUCCCACGUCAAUCAUUAAUCAAGAAAAUAUUCCGCAGAUUUGCCUACAGGCCUAUCUGAUUGUGGCAGUAACUCAUUUGAGGUUUGUUCUUCCCAGGUCGUGGCAAUACUGCACAGAAAGACUAACUCUUGGUUAUUUACUCAAGUGGGUCUGAUUUAUUCUGCAUUGUUUUGGUCUCCUGUUCUAAUCUAUGAGAGAUUAAUGUAAGAAGUAGAAGUAGUCCUGAACAAAGGACGUAUUCUGAAAAUCACAGAAAAUAUGGUGACAAAAAUGGAUGAGGAACGUUUGUCCUAAUCAACCUUUUAGAGGAGUCUCGAAAGGAAGAAAAUUGUCUUUCUGGCCUUGCUGACUCAGAAUAGUGCACAAAGCCACAAUCAGAUAUUAUCACUCUGUGCCAGUGUUGUUUCCAGCACACUUGUGGGAGGGCCGUUGCUUUCGGCGUCUCCAUGUUUUCAGUACCUGCCUUAGACCUGGUGGGCUGUUGGGAAUGGCCCCCAAGGCACAGCUAUUUACACACCUGGUCCCCAGGUGGGAGAACUCUUUGAGACAGCUCCUCCAUGGUGUCUGUCUCAGUUCAUCUUCCAGGUUCUCACUGACCAAUCCCCAGUUAAGUGUUUUUCCUUUUGUAAGACUGGUCUUGGUCAUGGUGUGUUUUCACCGCACACAACAGUGGCUAAGACAGACGUGGCUGUGUUGUUCUGAGUCAGAAGCCUGAGAGAUCCACGAAGGAAAGAUAGGGGUAUGGUACAAUAGGGUGUCCAAAACACAGUAAGAUUGGUUAUGAUGGUUCUUAAAGGCAGCUGGUUAGUUCUGAAUACAUUGAGUAUAUAGCUGUAAAUUAUCAUGAAGUACAUUAUUACUGUUCUUGGUUACAGGUUGAGUAAAAGUGUGAGUUAAGGCAAGCUUUAAACACCAUUUCCCAGAAAACCCAUUCCAGCACCAGAUGACUCUAGUUUGUGUCAAGGUGACAAAUACUAAUCAACAUGAGGACCAAUAGCAAAGUGGUUAAAACUGUGGCUGUAAAAUCAAAUUAACUGGACUCAAACGGCAGGUCUGCCAUCUCAAGGUAUUUGCAUCUUAGCCUGUUUGAGCCUCAGUAUUUUUAUCUGUAAAAUUGAAUCAUAAUUUAGCAUUAAGGUGUUAGAAGAUUAACUAAGUCAUCUAAAAUGUAGCACACUGCCUAUGGCACGGUGUCUAAUUUUAGUUACUGUUGAUAUACUUUUGUUACCUAUACUUCUAUAAUGGGUUUGAAUCCCAGUUCUAUGAUAUUCACAAUCCAGCAUAGCAUUCUGAAAAGCCAGAAAUAUCUUACUAAUGAACAUAGAAAUAUGUGGAAAGUUGGGGUGGUUUGAAUAGUAAUGGCCCCCAUAGACUCAUCUGUUGGAAUGCUUGUCCCAUAGGGAAUGGCACUAUUAGGAGGUGUGGCCUUGUUGGAGUGGGUGUGGUUUUGUUGGAGGAAGUGUGUCAUUAGUAGGUGGGUUUUGAGGAUUUAGAAGGUCAAGCCAGCUCUCUUCCUGCUGCCUGCCCAUCAGGAUGUAGAACUCUCAGCUCCUUCUCCAGCACCACGUCUGUCUGUAUGCACCUUGCUUCCCAUCAUAACAAUAAUGGACAAAAGAGUUGCCAUGGUCAUGGUGGUCUCUUCAUAGCAAUAGAAACCCUAAGACAGAAGUUCUAUAUGAAUAUACGUGUGUGUCUAAUCCUCCUGCCAGAAUUUGAGUGAAAAGCUGAAGUUGAGAUUUUUCACUGACUUAAGUCCCUGUAAGAUCUUCCGAAAUAUUGUUUCUUCACUUCGAAGAGGAAGGAAAAAACAAUAAUCAAGAGUGGUAAUGUACACUUGUAAUGCUAGCACUGGUCAGGCUGAGGCAGAAGGGUCACAAAUUUGAGGGCAGUCUGAAUUACAUAGUGAUUUCAUGGCAGGCCUGGGCUACACAAGACUCUGGGGGGAUGUAGGGAGCAAGGGAACCAAUAACAGAACAAGCUGAGAAAUGUAUAGAAAAUGUGCUUGCCUCCCUCGUGGGAAAUACUGGGAGGAAGUCAGUAGAAAGCUGGAGGCUUCUAGCUAGGAAAGUAUUUCUUGCUUUAGUAGUCUGUCUUAGUAGUUCACUGGCCUUAGCUCAUGGCAAAAAAAAACAAAAAAAACCAUGGGACACAAAGCUAGAUGAAAACCCGAGAAAGGGAGGAGGGCUUUUGAGGAUUUACCACACUCAGAUAAGAUGUAAGCUACUAUACCAGCACUAUGCCUGCCUACCUGCUGCCACAUUCCUUGUCAUGAUAACCAUGGACUAAGCCUCUGAAACGCAUCCAGGCACUGAAGCUCUGGAAGCCCAGCGAGGACAACUCAGACUCAGGAGACAGAGGACUCUGUAGAAGAGGUGUUCCAGGGCCUGGGUGCCACCAGCCAGCUCCGCUAGAAGAAUGCUGUGAGAACAGGCUGGCACUGAGCUGGAGUGGCCAUCGUCACAAGGGUACCACCUGAAGGGUGGGCAGAGGGCCUCGGGGAGGAGCCACAUACUCUUCCUCCGGAAUAAAACAGAGCUCAGAGCUGUGAGCCUGGGGUUCCACCAGCCAGUCACCCUCAGGACAGCCCUCAGGACUGUCCGUGUGGAGCAGCACACAUCCUCAGAUUUUUGGAACAUACUUACAUCUCGAAGAUAGCGCUCCAUCCAUUUAAUGAUAUCAAUACCCCGGAUUCUAUCCUCAAAUAUGUCAAUCUACAAGAAAAGGAUGCGCAAAAGAGCUCUUAAUGAGAGCUUUCUCCGAGUGCAGACCUCAAGAAAACACAAGAUCCUACAUACAUGUGCAACCCUAAAAGUAGUGCUCUCAAUAAGGAGGAACACGUGAGACCAAACAGAGAAGCAAAGAAAAUACUCUCCCAGCAGGCUAAGAAGCUAGGCUUGCUAAGGGGCCACCCAGCAGUGCCUGCUUUUGAUCUCUUGAUGCUCUCUGCUGCCCUGAACUCUUGCCUGACAAGACCAAGUAGGGGGUGGGAGAGGAUGUGUUUGCUUGCCCUGCCCCCUUUGGCUCAUUUUGGAGAGAGGUCAGGAAGCAGGAGUAGUCUGAUGCCCAGAUCAGAGAGUGUGGAAUGCAUCAGUUAAAAUCUCAAGAAACCCCGAGGCAGAGGAUUAAGAGAUACUGAAGAGAAGAUGAGUCUGUGUGCAUUUAUCUGUGCUUAGCCUGCUCCGAAUGGGAACUCAGCUCUCAAAUGAAGGUGUGUGUGGUAUGUGAUGGUGGAAGUAACCAGCAGCCAGGCAAAUGGCAGAGCGUGGCCCUUUUCCACCUCCAUGUGUAAUAAUUGCAGGACUCCCUUCCCAGACAAGACUGCUCACUCCUGCAGAAAAUGACCUUGUUCUUGAGAGCUGCUGCUAAUUUACAGUGAGGCACUAGGUUUCUACCCAGUGCCACGUGAGCAACCAAUCCAUCUACCCAGGGGCACGGCACUGACGAGCAGCAUCAUUUAGAAGGAAAGAAGUAUGGGUGGUGUUUGUUGUUUCCUGUGUGUUAAGGAAAAUCCAGUGGUAAGCAGUUUGGGAGCAUUGCUUCUGAGCUAGGCUCACUGAGGAAGGGGAAAGCUGCAUUGUACUAUCUACAUAAAAAUAUAGCCGAGAAAGUGACUGUGACCCUCCAACCUAGACUGUCUACUAGCUUUGACAAUGACCCCUGUCCUGCUAUUGGUCAGAAGACAACUCGUGAGGAUUGGUCCUCUCUGCCCUGUGGGUCCCAGGAGUGCAUCAGGGAUCAGGCUUACUGACAGGCAUCCUUACCCACUGAGCCAGACUGCCUGGCCUCACUGCUCAAACUGUAAUCCUUCUGUUCCACUAGCGUGGCCAGGCCUUUCUGGCUCCGUGCUGUGCUGAGUGCUGGUCUAGGUGUGCUGAGGACUGGAGAGUCGGAGCUUCUGUUUCCCAGAGAGAGUGGUUUCCCUCAGAGCUGUCUACAAGAAGUACUGAAUGAAAGAGGAUGAGAUCUUAACAAAAUGGUUCCUAAGGCCCGGGACAGCACUGUCAUGUCUGCCAGCCACUUGAUCCGACUCAGAGAGAAUGCACACAGGAAGGCACAGGGAUCCUACCCCAGGGCCUUUGCACUUGUUGCUGUCUCUUAGAAUAUGCUUCCCUCCAAAUACCUUCAUGCCUUCCUUCCUUUCUCUCCAGAGGUCCCUCCUCACCUGUCACCUUCCCAGUGAGGUCUCCCUGGGCUCCCCCAUAAAGUGUUUGCACUCUCCCCUCACCUCCACCCGCUUCCGUCUCUCCUUCCUCUCUCGAAAUUAUUACCACCCAACAAAGAUAUAGAAUGGAAAUAUUCAAUCCCAUUUGUUUCCAAAGUUUAAUUGAUGCACCAAGACUCAACACCUAGACCCACGAGAGUAGAUGCUCAGGAAAGAUUUGCUGACUGAACACAUGAUUGUGUCUACGCCUAGCAGUACUUUGUUGCGGGAUGGGCCCUGGCAGGGUUGGUAAAGCCCUCAUUUGUAGACAUGGAACCUCCCAGCUCCAGCCCUGCUAAGAACUGACAGAACUUGGCUAGCUCCAUGUUUUGUUCACGUGACUCUCAACCUGGUGUGGCCUGGACUCUAGUCCCUGCCUCAAGGAAAGUCCAGACUGACAUAGAAAAUCCCUGCUCACCAGCCUUGACCUUGGGAGAAAGCCCCUGACCUGUGAGUGGACAGAAGGCCUGGUGGUCAGCCCGUGGGAGCCCUGGAGCGUGCACUGCUGGAGCAGCUCAGAAAAAGCUGAGAAGCCAAGACUUGACUGUCAGUCCUGGAGAAUUAGAACAUGCCUGCUAAAUUUCAGUCCACUCUGAGGAAGGGGCAGUGCCCACAAGGAAACCUAGUGGGUGGGGUUCUGGCUGGGACUCAUCUGGAGUUCCCAGGGCAGAUGCCCGGCCCCAGCUUAUAGACCAUGAUGCGGCUGGGCUUCCGUGUCUGAUUCUUAAGUGCCUCAGGUAAACAGACUCUCCUUUGCUUUGCCAGGAGGAAUGACAUUACUAUCAGCAUUGUAAAAGUCUGUGGCCUUUGGGAGAGUAAUUUUACUUCUAAGACUCUCCUCUACAGAGAAGUGUGCACACUGUUCCCAGUGGAGUCUAUAAAGAUAGCAAAGAGCAAAGACUUAAAACAGAAUGGCUCUGGGUUUGAAGUGUUGUGUAUCUAGACAAUGAACAGCCCACCUUUAAACAAGCCCCACAUGGACUGAAGCGGAGGCAGCUCCAAAUGUAUUAGGUGACAGUGCCACAUGGCUCUGUGUGAUGGUAAGAUUAUAUGUGUACAUGUCAUCUCGAAAGGAGAAUUCGGCUUAUCUCUGGGGAGAGAGUCUGCAUCUUUUCUCAUUUGUACCGAGUAUGGAGUGUGUAUCUAUCUCUCUGUCAGAAAUGUCAAGGGAAGGGUUCACCAUUGACCUGAUGCUCACGAAGGUUAGGAACCAAUGCCAACCACAAUGCCCACCUCUACCUUCAGGAGACAGUAAACGCCUUAGAAUACAAAACCCAUAAACAACCAAGACUGUGGUGCCUGCUGGGGCUGGGCCUGAGCUGCACACAGAGGCUAGGUACCGAACAGCUGCCAUGGUAAACUGGCACAGUUAGGCACGCGGCCGGGUUCACACGCCCUCUGCCCUGACUUUAAAGACAGCAGUCUUGGCCCAGCUUCCCUCACCCCCUAUGUAUGAGCAGAGAGCUAUACUUGCUGGGUUUCCAGCUCUUGUAUUUGGACUCCUCUUCUCUUUUCUCUUUUUUGAGAGAGGGUCUCACUGUGUAUUCGUGGCUGCUCUGGAACUUCCUGGACCAGGCUGGCCUUGAUGUAGAUCUCUGCCUUCUAAAAAAUAAAAAUAUGUUUUAUGUGU